UAAUGGACAAUUUAGGACUUUGGGAGCUCACAAACAUUCAUGUACAAUAUUCUAUUCUUAUAAACAGGUGUUCGCCAAAGAAAGCUCUAUAAUACAGGAAUGAUGGGGGGAUACCAAAUCAAAAGGGCAAGUGAGGAAGCUUGCGUGGAGCUGUGCUCGAGGAUGGUGAACUGUGCUGCUGUUCACUUUUAUUUACAGAGUUGCUUCUUCCACCAUGAAGAAAAACCAACGGUUACGAGUGAACACCACACACUUUAUAUAUUUGAUCAUUGCGCUUAUGAAACCACGACAGUAAUUACAACUACACCUCCAACGACUGUCACGACAACUACAGCUCCAAUCAUCAAGACAACUGGUACAAUGCUGUGGUCUUACUACAAGAGAUACGAUGAAGACAUGGCGGAAGGCUUGCCAAGUCGGGUGGCCUGUAUUGAAUGUGCUUGGAUGUGUUUGCGAUCCAACUGCACUGGUUUCACGUGUGGAAACAUG